AGAAUUAGGUUCCUCUAAGAGUAGUAAUGCAUGAUUUAACCGUUUAAUAUAGUUAUUUUGAAGAGGCAAAGACGGGUGUCAGAUCCUGUUGAAAACAAAAAAAAGGAAAAUUAGUCACUCUGAUGAUGGUGAAGGUGGACCCAGUGGUGGUGAUGGUGAAGGUGGACCAAGUGGUGGUGAUGGUGAAGGUGGACCAAGUGGUGGUGAUGGUGAAGGUGGACCAAGUGGUGGUGAUGGUGAAGGUGGACCCAAUGGUGCUGAUGGUGAAGGUGGACCCAAUGGUGCUGAUGGUGAAGUUGGAGACGAAGCGUUCGAUAAGUAUGCGGGCGAAUUGAGGAGUUUCUUCAAGAGGCAAACACAACUUUUGGAUAAAAAGUUUGAAGAUUUAAAAGUAUUUGUCCGUGAAGAGAUACGUGCUGCUCUACAGUCCCAGGACCGAAAGGAAGAAGGCCCACGAUCAUCUCACAAAUCUGAUUCACCAUCUGAGAAGGUUGAGAGGGUGACCAAAACUGUUGAGAAGGUGAACAAAAGGGUUGAGAAGGCGAACAAAAGAGUUGAGAAGGCAGCUGAACAGGUACAGAGAAAAUCUGUAAAGAAAUCCACCAAACCAAGAAAAUUUGUUCCAAGAAGAUCUUCCAGGUUGAACAAUACUCCCAAGAAGGCUGCAACUGGUAGUCUUCCUGUUGAGGUACGUCUACAGCAUGUACCUUGUGUAAAUACAAUCGAAAAAA
rnacentral:sRNA from 1 species